ensembl:snoRNA
GCUCAAUGAUGAAAAUACCCAAAUCUGAGUAUCAGAGGCCUUCCAAUCUACCUGAUGCAUGAUCUUUGUAGUUCUGAGA